rnacentral:rRNA from 1 species
AACUCCAACAACCGUGGCAAAGGCAACUACCGCGGCAAGGGUCGCGGCAACUCCGGUGACCGCGGUGACUACAACAACAAUAACCGCGGCGGCUACCGCGGUGAUCGUGGUGGUGGCGGCAAUCGCCACAACGCGAACGGCAACCGCGGCGGUGGUGACCGCGGUGACCACGGUGGUGGCAGUGAUGCACGCCUGCAGUGUCAACUCUGCCGGGGCCCCGGGCACUAUGCCUGGGAGUGUGCUCAACGUUACAACCACGCCUUCCAGCCUCAGCACUCCAAGAUGGCGGGUCUAGCAGCUGCAUCACCACCAUCCAUCCUCGGUGAUCCUACCUGGUUCACUGACACGGGGGCCACCGAUCACAUCACGUCGGAUCUGGACCGCCUCACCGUGAGGGGAAAAUAUCUUGGGCAGGACCGCAUCGACACUGCCGACGGAUCAGGAUUUGACAACCAAGCGGGUCCUUCUUCAAGGCAGAUGUGA